rnacentral:lncRNA from 1 species
GUAGGGAGAUAAAGAGAAUAAGAAUAUUUACCAGGAAAACAAAAUAGAGAGCACCAAACCCCAGAGGAAAGAGACAGCAUGGAGUGUGGCUGGAGCAGAAAAUGAAGAUCAUUCUGGUGUGGAAAUUGGUUUGGUUGGGGAUCAAGCCUGGAGCACUGGAAACAAAUUAGGAUACUAAAUCAGUUCUCAGAAUCGAAGUUGAAUGUCCUAACAAUAGGAAGAGAUUGAUUGGAGGCAGAUUAAGGAGAUGGAACCCGUAAAAGACAUAGUAAGUAACUGGAUUAAGGUUGAUAGUGUAAAUGUAAU